AUGAAUGUCACUGAGUUGAGGGAAUUUUGGGCCUCACGGGUUACUAUAGGAAAUUUUUCCCAAGGGUAUGGUAUCAUUGCUAAACCAUUGACACAAUUACUGAUGAAACAAGGUUUUGUUUGGUCUGUAGCUGCUCAACAAGCUUUUGGGACCCUCAAAAUAGUUAUUUCCACUACUCCAGCGUUAGCCUCACCUGAUUUUCAUCAGCCUUUUACUAUUGAGAAAGAUGCUUGUGCUAAUGGUAUUGGAGCUGUCCUUUCUCAAAAUGGUCGUGUAGUGGCUUUUGUUAGAAAAGUUCAAGGGAUGAAGAACACAACUAUCUAUAUAUGA
rnacentral:rRNA from 1 species